CCUACGGGGGUCAGCAGUGAGGAAUAUUGGUCAAUGGACGAGCGUCUGAACCAGCCAAGUAGCGUGAAGGAUGACUGUCCUAUGGGUUGUAAACUUCUUUUAUAAAGGAAUAAAACGAGGCACGUGUGCCUUUUUGCAUGUACUUUAUGAAUAAGGAUCGGCUAACUCCGUGCCAGCAGCCGCGGUAAUACGGAGGAUCCGAUCGUUAUCCGGAGUUAUUGGGUUUAAAGGGAGCGUAGAUGGGUUGUUCAGUCAGUUGUGAAAGUUUGCGGCUCAACCGUAAAAUUGCAAUUGAUACUGGCAGUCGUGAGUACAGUUGAGGUAAGCGGAAUUCGUGGUGUAGCGGUGAAAUGCUUAGAUAUCACGAAGAACCCCGAUUGCGAAGGCAGCUUACUAAACUGUGACUGACAUUGAUGCUCGAAAGUGUGGGUAUCAAACAGGAUUAGAUACCCCGGGUAGUC
rnacentral:rRNA from 1 species